CAGUAAACACGCAAGUGUGUGUCAGGCAGCGUCCAGGGCUCUGCAGGCCAGGAGAGCGAGUGAGGAGCUGCAGCUCACUGACCACUGAGGGGGCAGCUCGGGCCCCCACACUUUGCUCGACGCAUGCAACUCACUGUGCUGUCACCUGAACCCCGGCCGGAGGCAGCUUGUGUGACUACUCGUGGAAUCAUCAUUGUCGCUGCUGUGACACAUUCAUCUCCACAAAGCCCUGAGAGCCAAGUAACCGGUGACGGAGUUCAGUAAGCCGACCCCGGAGAGCAGAAGCACCCACUUUCUGACCCAGUUAAGCCCCUGCCGAGGGCAGGGAGCAGCCUCCUCCCCGCGCCCUGCGUGACUCUGCCUGUGGGUUCACCUGGUGCAGCUGGGGCGGCGGGGCCCUCACCUGCUGCUGAGAUGGGCUGGGGCUGACUAAGGACAUUUUAGAAAAUCUGAGGAUGCCAUUUAUCUCCCCAAGGUGUCCCUAUCUGUGACACAAGUCCUUGAAAUGAUAGGAAGCCUGACCCAGAAAUAUCCAUGAACAAAUUACUGUUUAUCCCGCUUAGACGCGGCACCUCCCGCUUCAUCCUCUGCCACCUUCUGCUGCAAGCACGGGGAGCGCGAAGCAAGCCGAUUGCAAAAUGAACUUGCUAAUCUUUUAAAAGAUGCAGGGUUUUGUUAAAUUAAUUAAAGUGAUGCUGGAGGACAGCUCGAAACACAUGCAAA